GUGGGGAUGGCUCAGUGGUAGAGCGCAUGCCUAGCAUGCAUGAAGUCCUGGGUUCAAUCCCUAGUACCUCCA
rnacentral:tRNA from 1 species